UACGGAGGGUGCGAGCGUUGUCCGGAAUCAUUGGGCGUAAAGCGCGCGUAGGUGGCCUCAUAAGUCCGUUGUGAAAGUCAAAGGCUCAACCUUUGAAAGCCGAUGGAUACUGUGAGACUAGAGUACGGAAGAGGCGAGUGGAAUUCCUGGUGUAGCGGUGAAAUGCGCAGAUAUCAGGAGGAACACCGGUGGCGAAGGCGGGUCUCUGGGCCGUAACUGACGCUGAGGAGCGAAAGCGUGGGGAGCGAACAGG
rnacentral:rRNA from 1 species